GUGCUCCUUUCAGCAGCACAUAUACUAAAACUGGAACGAUAAAGAGAAGAUUAGCAUGGCCCCUGCACAAGGAUGACAAGCAAAUUCGUGAAGCGUUCCACUUUUUG